rnacentral:rRNA from 1 species
AGAGUUUGAUCAUGGCUCAGAACGAACGCUGGCGGCAGGCCUAACACAUGCAAGUCGAGCGCCCCCGCAAGGGGGAGCGGCGGACGGGUGAGUAAUGCGUGGGAAUUUUCCUCAAGGUACGGAACAACUCAGGGAAACUUGGGCUAAUACCGUAUGAUGUCUAGCGACCAAAGAUUUAUCGCCUUGGGAUAAGCCCGCGUCAGAUUAGGUAGUUGGUGGGGUAACGGCCUACCAAGCCUGCGAUCUGUAGCUGGUCUGAGAGGACGAUCAGCCACACUGGGACUGAGACACGGCCCAGACUCCUACGGGAGGCAGCAGUGGGGAAUCUUGCGCAAUGGGCGAAAGCCUGACGCAGCCAUGCCGCGUGAAUGAUGAAGGUCUUAGGAUUGUAAAGUUCUUUCGCCCGUGACGAUGAUGACGGUAACGGAGAAGAG